rnacentral:rRNA from 2 species
AACGAACGCUGGCGGCAGGCUUAACACAUGCAAGCCGAGCGCCCCGCAAGGGGAGCGGCAGACGGGUGAGUAACGCGUGGGAAUCUACCUUUUGCUACGGAAUAACGCAGGGAAACUUGUGCUAAUACCGUAUGUGUCCUUCGGGAGAAAGAUUUAUCGGCAAGAGAUGAGCCCGCGUUGGAUUAGCUAGUUGGUGGGGUAAAGGCCUACCAAGGCGACGAUCCAUAGCUGGUCUGAGAGGAUGAUCAGCCACAUUGGGACUGAGACACGGCCCAAACUCCUACGGGAGGCAGCAGUGGGGAAUAUUGGACAAUGGGCGCAAGCCUGAUCCAGCCAUGCCGCGUGAGUGAUGAAGGCCCUAGGGUUGUAAAGCUCUUUCACCGGAGAAGAUAAUGACGGUAUCCGGAGAAGAAGCCCCGGCUAACUUCGUGCCAGCAGCCGCGGUAA